AGAGUUUGAUCCUAGGCUCAGGAUGAACUCUGGCGGCGUGCCUAAUACAUGCAAGUCGAACGCACAGCGAAAGGUGCUUGCACCUUUCAAGUGAGUGGCAAACGGGUGAGUAACACAUGGAUAACCUACCUCAAGGUUGGGGAUAACAUUUGGAAACAGAUGCUAAUACCGAAUAAAACUUCGUAUCGCAUGAUACAAGGUUAAAAGGCGCUUCGGCGUCACCUAGAGAUGGAUCCGCGGUGCAUUAGUUAGUUGGUGGGGGUAAAGGCCUACCAAGACAAUGAUGCAUAGCCGAGUUGAGAGACUGAUCGGCCACAUUGGGACUGAGACACGGCCCAAACUCCUACGGGAGGCUGCAGUAGGGAAUCUUCCACAAUGGGCGAAAGCCUGAUGGAGCAACGCCGCGUGUGUGAUGAAGGCUUUCGGGUCGUAAAGCACUGUUGUAUGGGAAGAACAGCUAGAGUAGGGAAUGACUUUAGUUUGACGGUACCAUACCAGAAAGGGACGGCUAAAUACGUGCCAGCAGCCGCGGUAAUACGUAUGUCCCGAGCGUUAUCCGGAUUUAUUGGGCGUAAAGCGAGCGCAGACGGUUGAUUAAGUCUGAUGUGAAAGCCCGGAGCUCAACUCCGGAAAGGCAUUGGAAACUGGUCAACUUGAGUGCAGUAGAGGUAAGUGGAACUCCAUGUGUAGCGGUGGAAUGCGUAGAUAUAUGGAAGAACACCAGCGGCGAAGGCGGCUUACUGGACUGUAACUGACGUUGAGGCUCGAAAGUGUGGGUAGCAAACAGGAUUAGAUACCCUGGUAGUCCACACCGUAAACGAUG
rnacentral:rRNA from 1 species